rnacentral:rRNA from 1 species
AGAGUUUGAUCCUGGCUCAGAGCGAACGCUGGCGGCAGGCUUAACACAUGCAAGUCGAGCGGGCACUUUCGGGUGUCAGCGGCAGACGGGUGAGUAACACGUGGGAACGUGCCUUUUGGUUCGGGACAACUCCGGGAAACUGGAGCUAAUACCGGAUAAGCCCUUUGGGGGAAAGAUUUAUCGCCAAAAGAUCGGCCCGCGUCUGAUUAGCUAGUUGGUAGGGUAAUGGCCUACCAAGGCGACGAUCAGUAGCUGGUCUGAGAGGAUGAUCAGCCACACUGGGACUGAGACACGGCCCAGACUCCUACGGGAGGCAGCAGUGGGGAAUAUUGGACAAUGGGCGCAAGCCUGAUCCAGCCAUGCCGCGUGAGUGAUGAAGGCCCUAGGGUUGUAAAGCUCUUUUGUCCGGGAAGAUAAUGACUGUACCGGAAGAAUAAGCCCCGGCUAACUUCGUGCCAGCAGCCGCGGUAAUACGAAGGGGGCUAGCGUUGCUCGGAAUCACUGGGCGUAAAGGGCGCGUAGGCGGAUCUUUAAGUCGGGGGUGAAAGCCCAGGGCUCAACCCUGGAAUUGCCUUCGAUACUGAAGAUCUUGAGACCGGUAGAGGUAAGUGGAACUGCGAGUGUAGAGGUGAAAUUCGUAGAUAUUCGCAAGAACACCAGUGGCGAAGGCGGCUUACUGGACCGGUUCUGACGCUGAGGCGCGAAAGCGUGGGGAGCAAACAGGAUUAGAUACCCUAGUAGUCC